ACUCCACCUGCUCCUUAUGUUAUUGUUGUUCAUGGACCUCCCAAGGUUGGGAAAUCCUUGUUGAUCAAAUCUCUAGUAAAGCAUUAUACCAACCAUAAUCUUACCGAUGACACCACCCCAGGCCCCAUUACGAUCGUCGUCGGCUCAGGCGAAGAACAAAGACGGAUACAGUUUGUGGAGUGUCCUAACAAUGUCAAUGGCAUGAUUGAUGC